rnacentral:lncRNA from 10 species
GGCACAGAACUCAACACUAACAUACAAAAAUGAAUAUGAUACUCUCCCUACACUGAAAUACUCCAAGCCUAGCCAGGGAGAUAAGCAAACAAACAAAUGGGUAUAAAGCAAUAUGGCGCACAUGAUGGUAGAGAUACAAAUACAAUUCUAUGGGAUCACAGAGGUGGGAAUGCCCUAUUUUCUGUUAAGGUGGGUAGGGUUUGGGCAUUAGAUGUCAGAGACGAUUUAAAAAGAAAGAGAAUUCUUGAGUUGGACCUUAAAAAACAAGGCAGGAAAAGAUAUGCCAGACAAUCACUUCCCUCUAUGGCCUCAGUUUCCUCAGCUUUAAAAUGAAGGCUCAACCUGAUACCCUCUAGUAUCUGCAUUGCUCAGGGCAGAAUGACUGCCAGCCACACCACCAAAGGCUUCAACAUCAGCCGUGUUGCUCAUGCAGUCCUGAACUCCUGCUCAGAGCCAGCAUACGAGAGGAUUAUCAGGUUGCUGGAUGUGUUCCCCUACAUUGGAAAAAUCAGAAAAUUAGAUUUAAGCAACCAUUUGUGUUAAGAAAAUGUAUCCAAACUUGGAAACAGAGCUAAGAGGAUGGCUACAAACUCUUUAAUGCCAUUCUGAAACACUGAAGCAUUGUUCAACUGGCCCAGGAGGGGUUAAAUCUCUACGAGAAUGUGCCUCUGUUGACAUUUCUGUUUACUAUUGAUUAGAGCCCAGACACUGUGAUGUUAUAUGCUAAAUUGUAGAUUUUAGUCUGGUGAAAAUGCAAAUUACUUGUAUUCAGUAGAAAAAAAAAUGCCCUCAAAGGUUAUAGUUGCAUGGCCCUGUAGGAUAGUAUCCAGAUUUCAGUGUGCCCUCCCUAAAGAUCUGUGAAAACCCCAGUUUCUUAAACGUUCCUUGCAGUUUUAUCAACUUACUUGUUCCCUUAGUAAUGAAUUAAUACAUUUUGAUAUUUGUUCAUUCUAUAUUUGAAUGAGUCCUGAUUUUAGAUUUUUGAAAAUUAUCUUUUCACAUUUAGGGAAAGAAGAGAAUGUCUUCAUUUUCUAACUGGGAAUCAAUUGCAGAAGUCUUGCUCAUUCCAACACUUAACUGCAAUAUUACUGCUUUUUUGUGGACUCAUUUUAGCUGCCUGCCUUUAUUUCUUCCUGAACUAGGAGAGCAUUUGGGUUCAUUUUUAUGACACCUACUUUGUGACAGUGAUUGAAGUGAAGGAAUCAGCAGUCUUCACACAUAGAUUCACACACAGACUCACACACACACCUACAUGCACACACAUGCACUCAGACACACAGGCUGGUUUGCUGAUUUGGUUCUUUCCUGGAUGUGUCUGAAUGAAUGAGUCAUGCACCCACUUUGCCACUCCUCAUGAUUAUUACUGGAUCUUACUAAAGGAAAGGCAAAUUCCUGAGACCGCUUUAUUCCCGAGAUCAUCCUCACACUUGGAGGCUAUAACAUUUUGACAAACGACCUUCAGACUGCUUUUUAGCAAUAACACCAUUAACAAUACGGUGUUCUGUGUUUUAUAAAAACAUUCCUGUGUGAGAGGCAUUGUGCUUCUAAUUUUAUUGAAGAGGAAAAUGAGGUCCAGGUAGAUCCCUCGCCUAAGAUCAACUGCAUAGAAAACAAGGAACCAAAAAUUAAGCCCAGAUCUAACUCAGGGACUAGUGCUCAUGGUGCUACCAAACUGCCUCAAAGAUUCAGCUGAACAAACAAAUGUUACUUUAUUUUUCAUCCUGCUAACUUAAAUGUAAAGUUUCAUUAGAGAACAUUGUUUAUAAGCCAUUGCAUAUUUUCAACUUAUUAUGUGAAAUUCCAUAUGAAUCUACUGAAAUGAUCAUUGACUUCAUGGAUUAGUUUAUUUUGUCCAUAUGCAUACAUUUACCCCUGGGGACUUGGAGGAGCAAUGUGUUAAUUAAGUCAUUGAUCAUUUUUCAGAUAUGAGAAGCUGAAUGACUCUCCCUAUGAGUCAUUACCACAAUCAAGCUACUCUGGUAACGCCCACACACACACACACACACACACACUAUGGCAUAUGAAGGAAGCUAUUGGGUGGGAAUGGUUGGAGUCUGAUCUCAUGAUAGAGAAAUUAUACGUCCACUGAUACUGUCUCAGUAUCCAGGAGGAGGUAAAGUUAUUGAGAGUGGAACACAUUGGUGGAACAAUGCUUUUGUCAUUCCCAUCAUAAAUUUUUUUUUAAUCACUUAACAGCACCUUUCUGCUCAGGCUGCAGUGAUACACACUACAAAAAGAGAGCAAUAAGACCAAAGGCACACCUUUUAUGAGAUUUUAACAUAAUUUAGAAGGCAUGAAUGAGAAAAAAAGGAGAGAAUACAAAGAAAGACCGCAGAGAAAAUAUAGACAAAAGAAAGUUGAAGUAAAACCAACUAAUGGUCUUAGGUUUUACACUAAAAAUUCUUAGAAAAUAGCAGAUGGGAGAGAAGCAGUUUGCUUCCUGCUUUGACACAGUGGAGUUGUUCAUUCUGGGAAAACUUUGUAAACCAGGUAGAAAAUUAAAAAUUAUCAAUUUCCCAAAUAUGUAUCAAGCUACUACUUGUGCUAGGAUCUCUGUUAAAAAAAAACUGAUGUAUAAUUUUGAAUAUAUAUUUUUGAAUGUGUAUUUCUGAAUUUGAAUACAUAUAUUUUAAAGAUAGAAGAUGGAUAGAUAGAUGAUUGAUAGAUGAUGGAUAGACAGAUGGCCCUUGACUCAUGGCAAUUAUAGCCUAGUGGUAGAGAUGAAUAUGAAUUAAGUCAUCACAGAAAUACUUAUAAAAUCACAAUUAAGUGAAGUGCUGUGAAGGAGGGGCAGGUGAGUAAGACCAUGUAAUGGGCAGGGAGGAAUGACCUGGUCUAGGGGUCAAAAAGCUGCAGUGAGGACAUGGUGAUCGACCUGGAACCUAAAGGGUACACAGGAUUGGAGCAAAGAUGAGGAAAGAGGUUACAGGCAGAGACAAGAGCAUGUGCACAGGACAAGAGGGAACAGGGUUGGUGCAAGGGCCUGAAAGAAAGCAGCCUGGCUGCGGAUCAGGGAGAAAGGAGCAGUGGGGGUGAGAGGAAGCCAGAGCAGGGGGAGGUAUACUGUUGUUAAAAGGACUUGUUGCUGAAUUUUAAAGUGAUAGGGAGCCACUGAAGUGUUUUACCAGGGGAAAGGGGGACAUGUCCUAAGAUUGGCAUUUUGAUGCAUAUGCUAAUAGAAGCUUACAGGCUUUCUAAAAAAGAUUGGCAUUUUGAUGCAUAUGCUAAUUCCAGCUGUAGCACAAGAAUCAGACUGAAGGUAAAAAUGUAAGAGAGACCAUUAGUAGGCUGCCGCAGAGGUCCACACAAGAGAGGAGGGUGGCUUGGACUAGGACAGUGGCAAUGAAACAAAGAAAUGUCUGUGAACAGUAUCUAGAGGAGGAGAAGUAAGUCUUUCCAUUAGGCACUGGAGAGUAACUCAAAGGAUUUGGUCUUGUUCUACCGAGUGGAUGUUGGUUCCAUUCACCAAGGGGAAAAACACUGAAAAGAGGGAUAAGGAAAAUGGGAGAUGACGGUAGUAAUUAUGAGUUCAAUCGUAGUUAUCUUGAGUUAGGUGCUUAAAGAGAGAAUUAUUGGUAAAUUCAAAAGCAAGUCCAUUGGGCUACUUUGAGAAAUCUACUGUUAGAUAAGUCAGUUUUUGGUACUCCCAGUGGCCAGGAGGUUUGAUCACUUCCAAAUAUAUAUUCAUGUACCAACUUCCCUUGAAGACAGUUUCCAGUUUCUAUUAUGAUACCUCUUGACAUCUUCUGCCUCCAAUUUUUCACUUUUCCUUCUUGAGAUUGCAUUAGAAAUUAUGUAAUCGGAAUGAUAUUGAUUCAUUAAACUAGGUCAUGGCGUGACAAUUCAAUUGUCUGUACAUUCCUUCCCAACUUCUCAAGUGUGGAGAUGUUUUUAAGAGCUGUAGCACACAUCGCCAUUCCAGUGUGGAAAUUAGAAGUGUUUCAAAACUGUAGAAGACAUAAAGGUAGGCACACCAAGCCAGUUGAGUAGGUUAGCAGUCCAACAUGGAUCUCGCCAGCUGAAAUCCAGGUGGUGGCUGUGUUCCUUCCCUAAGGCCCAGGAAAGAAUCCAUUUCUUGCCAUUUCUCUAGAAGCUGGAAAAGCUUCUAGAGACCGUCAGCAUCCCUGAGCUGGUAGCUCACUUCCUCCAUCUCUAUCCGCUUUUGGAACCCUUGUGAUUACAUGGGGCUCACUCAGUAACCCAGAAUAAUCUUCCUA